UAAGCGACUAAGCGUACACGGUGGAUGCCCUGGCAGUCAGAGGCGAUGAAGGACGUGCUAAUCUGCGAUAAGCGUCGGUAAGGUGAUAUGAACCGUUAUAACCGGCGAUUUCCGAAUGGGGAAACCCAGUGUGAUUCGUCACACUAUCAUUAACUGAAUCCAUAGGUUAAUGAGGCGAACCGGGGGAACUGAAACAUCUAAGUACCCCGAGGAAAAGAAAUCAACCGAGAUUCCCCCUGUAGCGGCGAGCGAACGGGGAGCAGCCCAGAGCCUGAAUCAGUGUGUGUGUUAGUGGAAGCGUCUGGAAAGGCGCGCGAUACAGGGUGACAGCCCCGUACACAAAAAUGCACAUGCUGUGAGCUCGAUGAGUAGGGCGGGACACGUGGUAUCCUGUCUGAAUAUGGGGGGACCAUCCUCCAAGGCUAAAUACUCCUGACUGACCGAUAGUGAACCAGUACCGUGAGGGAAAGGCGAAAAGAACCCCGGCGAGGGGAGUGAAAAAGAACCUGAAACCGUGUACGUACAAGCAGUGGGAGCACAGAGCAAUCUGUGUGACUGCGUACCUUUUGUAUAAUGGGUCAGCGACUUAUAUUCUGUAGCAAGGUUAACCGAAUAGGGGAGCCGAAGGGAAACCGAGUCUUAACUGGGCGUUAAGUUGCAGGGUAUAGACCCGAAACCCGGUGAUCUAGCCAUGGGCAGGUUGAAGGUUGGGUAACACUAACUGGAGGACCGAACCGACUAAUGUUGAAAAAUUAGCGGAUGACUUGUGGCUGGGGGUGAAAGGCCAAUCAAACCGGGAGAUAGCUGGUUCUCCCCGAAAGCUAUUUAGGUAGCGCCUCGUGAAUUCAUCUCCGGGGGUAGAGCACUGUUUCGGCAAGGGGGUCAUCCCGACUUACCAACCCGAUGCAAACUGCGAAUACCGGAGAAUGUUAUCACGGGAGACACACGGCGGGUGCUAACGUCCGUCGUGAAGAGGGAAACAACCCAGACCGCCAGCUAAGGUCCCAAAAGUCAUGGUUAAGUGGGAAACGAUGUGGGAAGGCCCAGACAGCCAGGAUGUUGGCUUAGAAGCAGCCAUCAUUUAAAGAAAGCGUAAUAGCUCACUGGUCGAGUCGGCCUGCGCGGAAGAUGUAACGGGGCUAAACCAUGCACCGAAGCUGCGGCAGCGACGCUUAUGCGUUGUUGGGUAGGGGAGCGUUCUGUAAGCCUGCGAAGGUGUGCUGUGAGGCAUGCUGGAGGUAUCAGAAGUGCGAAUGCUGACAUAAGUAACGAUAAAGCGGGUGAAAAGCCCGCUCGCCGGAAGACCAAGGGUUCCUGUCCAACGUUAAUCGGGGCAGGGUGAGUCGACCCCUAAGGCGAGGCCGAAAGGCGUAGUCGAUGGGAAACAGGUUAAUAUUCCUGUACUUGGUGUUACUGCGAAGGGGGGACGGAGAAGGCUAUGUUGGCCGGGCGACGGUUGUCCCGGUUUAAGCGUGUAGGCUGGUUUUCCAGGCAAAUCCGGAAAAUCAAGGCUGAGGCGUGAUGACGAGGCACUACGGUGCUGAAGCAACAAAUGCCCUGCUUCCAGGAAAAGCCUCUAAGCAUCAGGUAACAUCAAAUCGUACCCCAAACCGACACAGGUGGUCAGGUAGAGAAUACCAAGGCGCUUGAGAGAACUCGGGUGAAGGAACUAGGCAAAAUGGUGCCGUAACUUCGGGAGAAGGCACGCUGAUAUGUAGGUGAAGUCCCUCGCGGAUGGAGCUGAAAUCAGUCGAAGAUACCAGCUGGCUGCAACUGUUUAUUAAAAACACAGCACUGUGCAAACACGAAAGUGGACGUAUACGGUGUGACGCCUGCCCGGUGCCGGAAGGUUAAUUGAUGGGGUCAGCGCAAGCGAAGCUCUUGAUCGAAGCCCCGGUAAACGGCGGCCGUAACUAUAACGGUCCUAAGGUAGCGAAAUUCCUUGUCGGGUAAGUUCCGACCUGCACGAAUGGCGUAAUGAUGGCCAGGCUGUCUCCACCCGAGACUCAGUGAAAUUGAACUCGCUGUGAAGAUGCAGUGUACCCGCGGCAAGACGGAAAGACCCCGUGAACCUUUACUAUAGCUUGACACUGAACAUUGAGCCUUGAUGUGUAGGAUAGGUGGGAGGCUUUGAAGUGUGGACGCCAGUCUGCAUGGAGCCGGCCUUGAAAUACCACCCUUUAAUGUUUGAUGUUCUAACGUUGACCCGUAAUCCGGGUUGCGGACAGUGUCUGGUGGGUAGUUUGACUGGGGCGGUCUCCUCCUAAAGAGUAACGGAGGAGCACGAAGGUUGGCUAAUCCUGGUCGGACAUCAGGAGGUUAGUGCAAUGGCAUAAGCCAGCUUGACUGCGAGCGUGACGGCGCGAGCAGGUGCGAAAGCAGGUCAUAGUGAUCCGGUGGUUCUGAAUGGAAGGGCCAUCGCUCAACGGAUAAAAGGUACUCCGGGGAUAACAGGCUGAUACCGCCCAAGAGUUCAUAUCGACGGCGGUGUUUGGCACCUCGAUGUCGGCUCAUCACAUCCUGGGGCUGAAGUAGGUCCCAAGGGUAUGGCUGUUCGCCAUUUAAAGUGGUACGCGAGCUGGGUUUAGAACGUCGUGAGACAGUUCGGUCCCUAUCUGCCGUGGGCGCUGGAGAACUGAGGGGGGCUGCUCCUAGUACGAGAGGACCGGAGUGGACGCAUCACUGGUGUUCGGGUUGUCAUGCCAAUGGCACUGCCCGGUAGCUAAAUGCGGAAGAGAUAAGUGCUGAAAGCAUCUAAGCACGAAACUUGCCCCGAGAUGAGUUCUCCCUGACUCCUUGAGAGUCCUGAAGGAACGUUGAAGACGACGACGUUGAUAGGCCGGGUGUGUAAGCGCAGCGAUGCGUUGAGCUAACCGGUACUAAUGAACCGUGAGGCUUAACCU
rnacentral:rRNA from 1 species